CUGAGAGGCGACCGGCCACACUGGGACUGAGACACGGCCCAGACUCCUACGGGAGGCAGCAGUGGGGAAUAUUGGGCAAUGGAGGAAACUCUGACCCAGCGACGCCGCGUGAGGGAUGAAGGCCUUCGGGUUGUAAACCUCUUUCAGUAGGGAAGAAGCGAAAGUGACGGUACCUACAGAAGAAGCACCGGCUAACUAUGUGCCAGCAGCCGCGGUAAUACAUAGGGUGCAAGCGUUGUCCGGAAUUAUUGGGCGUAAAGAGCUCGUAGGUGGUUCGAUACGUCGGAUGUGAAAAUCAGGGGCUCAACCCCUGACCUGCAUCCGAUACGGUCGAGCUAGAGUUUGGUAGGGGAGACUGGAAUUCCUGGUGUAGCGGUGGAAUGCGCAGAUAUCAGGAGGAACACCGAUGGCGAAGGCAGGUCUCUGGGCCAAUACUGACACUGAGGAGCGAAAGCGUGGGGAGCGAACAGGAUUAGAUACCCUGGUAGUCCACGCCGUAAACGGUGGGCGCUAGUUGUGCGAACCUUCCACGGUUUGUGCGACGCAGCUAACGCAUUAAGCGCCCCGCCU
rnacentral:rRNA from 1 species